CAUGUCGAUAACUAUAAGAAGUUCAUGACAAUUGUUCAUAGCAAGUUUUCUAUGUUUUGUUUAUAAUGUUCUUCAGUUGUGUAUAUGUUCUUCAUAACGAAUUUAAAAGAAACAUAGAAGAGACAGUGUCGAAUGUGAUUAAUUCUAAAAUAACACUCGACAGAGUGUAAUUUCAGUCUAAUUCAAAGAAAAAACUCUUCGUUUCACAAACAUCAAACUCUUCGUUAUUAUGAAGUUCAUCACAUAAGCUAUUUAACAGUAUGUAUAAUGUAUUGAACAAAGCUAUUUCAUGAUUUAAUUCAUUUUUCUUUCAUGCGAAAUCUAUUUGAAAACCAUAUCCAUGAAAAACAUAAAGCAUAUACGGUCAGAUUAUUAGUGAUUUUGGUUAAGAGGCAAGUUUAUUUUACUUGAACCGAACCAUAAUUAGUCUAUCAGUUUCGUGUGUAUUUGAAUGAGGAGGUGACGAAAAAAUCUUUUAUAAUGUGGUACACUCAUAAAUAAUAUAUGGAAUUUAGGUAACUAAAAUUUAUGUCUUUAUUUAUUAACAGAAAUAACUAAAUGCACAUAGCUCAAUGAAAAAAGGAAAAUUCAUAUCGAAUAUAUAUGCUUGAUUCACAAUUCUUUCAUGAGGUAAAUAUGGGAAUUUAUAUUUAAGAAAGAAAUUACUUUGUCACGAAGUUAUGAAUUGCCAAAAAAACUAGGUAAUUAAAAAUCGAUAUUAAUUGAUUUUGCGGUUUUGGAAGAAAAAACAUAAAUUUACAGGUUUGGCGGGAAAACAUAAUUUUACGAUUUUGGUGAAAAUGUGAUUUUGUGGGAAAAUAUAUUUUCACUGUUUUGACAAGAAAACAUAAUUUUAUGAUUUUGGUGAAAACGUGAUUUUGCAGUUUUGACGGAAAAACAUAAUUUUAUGGUUUUGACGGGAAACAUGAUUUUGUGGUUUAGAUUAGAAAACGUGAUUUUUCGGUUUAGGCCGGAAAACAUAAAUUUGUGAUUUUAGCGGAGAAUGAUUUUCAAGUUUUGAUGAGAAAACAUGAUUUUACGGUUUUGGCAGGA
rnacentral:lncRNA from 1 species